CUGUGGCCCCGAGCUGCGGCCCCCUGCCUGGACUGGGGCUGGGACACUGGGGCGGUCCCUAUCGGCCGGCGUUGGGCCACGGCGCUUGUCGGCCUUGGGGUCCCCGGACGGGCUGUGCGUGAAGGACUGGGAGCGCUUCUUUCGGGGUGUGUCCUCGUCGAAGAACUCGAUGACAAAGGCCUGCUGGUUAUGUAGUAGCUCCUGGGGGUCCCGCUUGAUCUGCCUCUGCAGCCGCACCUGCUCCCCGCUGGCCUCCAAGGGCACCCCAGCGGCCGAGGCCGCCUUGGCCAGGGGGUCCUCUGAGUCACUCUGCGUGCCGUCCUCGUGCUUGUGGCCUUCAGGGUGCGGGUGUGGACAGGCAGGUCGCUCUUGGUGCUGUGGCGGUCAUCCCCAGGGCCAACCCGGUGCAGCAGGCUCGGGUCAUU
rnacentral:lncRNA from 1 species